GUCAGGGGCGAUAGCACGUAGAAUCCACCAACUCCCGAUAGAUCACUGAAGUUAAUCAACAUUGAGCAUGAAUAGUGUCCGGAUGGGUGACCAUCUGGACAAUUGCUUUCUGACG
rfam:Asian citrus Psyllid, Diaphorina citri - Florida Strain, whole genome shotgun sequence.